UAAAGAUACAGAAGAGUGAGUGGU
rnacentral:siRNA from 1 species